CCCUGGAGGAUGAAGCCUACUCCACAUGCCUCUUAGCUUCCACAGCCCAGCCCUAUGGGAGUGACCCUGAGGAAGAUCAGGCAUAGGUGUCUGUUCUGUAUGGUGCAGAGAAUGAUCUGGGAGCCAUUCUUUUGUUUGAAGGAGGAAACCAAUCGGGGAAAUCCCAUUGAGGCAGACAGCUGGGCUUCCCACAGAGAGAAGAGCAUACUCUCAGACUGACAUGGACCAGAGGCUUCCACAGAACAAACAGCAACAGAUAAAGAUCACAUCGUCCAGAUGGGGCCUCACGACAUCCAGCAGAAACUGACUGGGGAAGUUGAGGCAGUUGACUGGAGUCCGGGCUGAGCUUCCGGCUUCUUUCCUGUUGCCGGCACUUCUACACCACAAGAAGAACACUAUUGAGACGGUUCCAGCUGUUUGUAAGCUUGAGAACACAGCUGAACAGAAAGAAAAGAGAACUCACAGCGUUGCUCCGCCCAGCGAUAACCAUGGUAAUUUGAGAUCUGCCCACGACCACUGCGAUCCUCCAACUGCUUCCCUUCUUAGGGGUCCUCUCCCUCCCCUGACAAGGAGUGCGGUGCCCUUCACAAAGGUGAGGGGAUGGCAAGGAAGUAGGACUGAGCAACGUGUACAAGAAGGAGGAAGGUUAGUGUCACAGUGAAGGAUGAGGUCUCCUGGACAGGCUGAUCCUCUUCAGCACCACGGACAGCUCCUGGCCACGCAGACGCCCGGCGGGUGCUGGAUUCACCACUACU